AACUCCAGUGAUGCCACCUGGUCCUGUGCCACAUCACAUGCAGCCCUGAAGAGCAGUGUCAUCUGCUCUUCCUGCAGGUCACUGUCAAAGGCACUAAUAUAUCUGAAGAAGUGCUGCUUGAAUAACAAUGGUUCCUGUUUAUCACAUGCUGACAGGGGUCAGGCAUUGAGAAGGAUGCUGCAAAUACCAUGACCCCAUGUGACAGCAGAGUGAUUAACAGUGUGGCCUCAGAAGUCAGGCAGAGAUUCAGAAGGCUGGAUGGAAACUUCUCCAAGUCUCGUCAACUGUGGAGCAUUGCCACUGGCACUUGGAACAUGAGCAGCAAUGAGAGCACAAUUAACUUUCUAGCACUUUCUGAAAUCUGGGAACUGAAAUGGCCAGAGUUAAGGAACCUUAUGAAAUAGCAAAAACUAAAUAGUCAAUGUAGAAUUACACAAUUACAUAUGUAGGUAGAAAAUUCUUUCUUUCUGGUGUCUUACCUCUGCUACAGGAACUGAUCAGUCCACCAUGGAUGGUAUUGACCAGCAUGAGCCAAGGUCCGUUUCAUUUGAGACCCAUCUGUCAUUAGGUAUACCCUGAAUGUCCAUUCAGGUCAGUCAGAGAACCUUGUUAAAUUUGAUACCAGAUUUCUGCCCACUGUCUGCAGAAUUCCUCAAACCUUCACUUCUAGAUAUCAUUGGGUCCUCCAGUUUCUUCUAUUUUGGCUUUAAAUCUUAGAUCUCAUUUUUUAAUCGAGUCUCUGGAAUUUGAAUUCCAUUGUGAACUAUUUCCAUUAUUUUUCACUUUUGUACUCCAGGACACUAGAUUUAUUAUUUUCUUCCAACUCUAAACACCAUAGAUGUUGGCAAGGGAAAUCUGAUUCCUUUAUCUUGCCCGCACAUAGGAAAGCUAUGGCUGUGUCCGCUCUCUCUCAGGUAGGCCCUGUUCUCAAUCAGUCUGGGGCUAUGGACUAGAAUGUGUUUUGGAAACAGAGCAGCUGGUAUCAGAGAGUCUAGACCAGCUGCCAGGAAGUUGAGCUUGAAUUAAAAGGAGGACCAAAAGCAGUAUGGUAUGGGAAAACAAAUCAGACUUAAGUUCUGUCUUGGCUUUGUUACUGACCAGCUACCCCUAAGAUACUAAGCAAAUCCUUUAACCAUUCUGAGACUAUCUCACCUGUAAGAGUUGGUCUGAGGAAUAAAUGAAACGAUCUGGGGAAAUUCCUGGAAUGU
rnacentral:lncRNA from 12 species